rnacentral:rRNA from 1 species
UACGAAGGGGGCUAGCGUUGCUCGGAAUCACUGGGCGUAAAGCGCACGUAGGCGGAUUGCUAAGUCAGGGGUGAAAUCCUGGAGCUCAACUCCAGAACUGCCUUUGAUACUGGCGAUCUCGAGUCCGGGAGAGGUGAGUGGAACUGCGAGUGUAGAGGUGAAGUUCGUAGAUAUUCGCAAGAACACCAGUGGCGAAGGCGGCUCACUGGCCCGGUACUGACGCUGAGGUGCGAAAGCGUGGGGAGCAAACAGG